CCUACGGGGGGCAGCAGUGAGGAAUAUUGGUCAAUGGGAGAGAUCCUGAACCAGCCAAGCCGCGUGAGGGAAGACGGCCCUACGGGUUGUAAACCUCUUUUGUCGGGGAGCAAGACCCGCCUCGUGCAGGCGGAGCGAGAGUACCCGAAGAAAAAGCAUCGGCUAACUCCGUGCCAGCAGCGGCGGUAAUACGGAGGAUGCGAUCGUUAUCCGGAUUUAUUGGGUUUAAAGGGUGCGCAGGCUGACCAUCGAGUCAGCGGAAAAAUCGUGGUGCCC
rnacentral:rRNA from 1 species